rnacentral:ncRNA from 1 species
AUUAUAGAAGGUGCCUGUGAUUUCUCCGCAGGAUAAUAGGGAAAAGGGUGAGAGUCCCUUACGGUCCCGCCGCUGUAUUGAAAGAGUCAUAUCUUAAAUAUUUGUCACUGGAGAUUAUUUUCUUUGGGAAGACAAGAUAUGAUGAGGAAGUCUGAGUCAGAAUACCUGCCUUUUAUA